CAAGAGCGUAUAUUAAAGUUGUUGCAGUUAAAAAGCUCGUAGUUGGAUUUCUGGUAUAAUGCGCCUGGCCCGCUCCGUUUCGGAGUGAGUGCCGGUGCGCGUUUGCCAUCCUUCUAGAAAACGUUUCUACCCUUCGCUGGGCCGGAUUCGCGAUCUAGAUCUUUUACUUUGAAAAAAUUAGAGUGUUUAAAGCAGGCUUUUGCUAUGAAUACAUUAGCAUGGAAUAAUAAUCUAGGACUUCGGUUCUAUUUUGUUGGUUUCUAGUACUGAAGUAAUGAUUGAUAGGGAUAGUUGGGGGUGCUAGUAUUGACCGGCCAGAGGUGAAAUUCUUGGAUUCGGUCAAGACUAACUUAUGCGAAAGCAUUCACCAAGGAUGUCUUCUUUA
rnacentral:rRNA from 1 species